rnacentral:rRNA from 1 species
UACAGAGGUGCCAAGCGUUAGGCGGAAUCACUGGGCUUAAAGCGCGUGUAGGCGGGUCGUUAAGUGUCUUGUGAAAUCCCACGGCUCAACCGUGGAACUGCUGGGCAUACUGACGAUCUUGAGGCACUCAGGGGCUGUCGGAACAAAUGGUGGAGCGGUGAAAUGCGUAGAUAUCAUUUGGAACGCCAACGGUGAAAACAGACAGCUGGGGGUGUCCUGACGCUGAGACGCGAAAGCCAGGGGAGCGAACGGGG